rnacentral:rRNA from 1 species
GACGAACGCUGGCGGCGUGCUUAACACAUGCAAGUCGAACGGUAAGGCCCUUUCGGGGGUACACGAGCGGCGAACGGGUGAGUAACACGUGGGUGACCUGCCCUCAGCUCUGGGAUAAGCCUGGGAAACCGGGUCUAAUACUGGAUAUGACUCCAUGACGCAUGUUGUGGGGUGGAAAGCCUUGUGCGGCUGAGGAUGGGCCCGCGGCCUAUCAGCUUGUUGGUGGGGUGAUGGCCUACCAAGGCGACGACGGGUAGCCGGCCUGAGAGGGCGACCGGCCACACUGGGACUGAGACACGGCCCAGACUCCUACGGGAGGCAGCAGUGGGGAAUCUUGCGCAAUGGGCGAAAGCUUGACGCAGCGACGCCGCGUGAGGGAUGACGGCCU